CCAGGCGACGUAGAUUUCGCGGCGGCCGAUGGACUUGCUGUACUGGUCAGUGGUGACGGCAACGUAGCCGAUCCAGUUAGACUCGCGGUCCCACGACUCGCGGGACAUGGAGUGGAGGAGGAAGGCCUCCGGGACGCUGACUUGUGCGGUGGAGUAGAGGAAGGAGGCGAUCUCGUAGUUGGCGGCGUCUUGGAGCAUGACUUUGUCGAAGAAGUUGGCGUGGCCGUAGCGGCUGGACCCGGCGUACUUGGAGUUGGCGUCGUUGUUGAAGGCGUCGUAGGUGCCCUGGCAGAAGUCGCCGCAGCGGAGGAUCAGGGUUCGGAGGUGGACGUCCAGCGGGUCCAGGAGGCCGGCCCAGUUGUUUCUCCGAGGAGAGCUGACCAUNNNNNNNNNNNNNNNNNNNNCUACUACUACUACUACUACUACUACUACUACUACUCUCUCUCUCUCUCUCUCUCUCUCUCUCUCUCUCUCUCUCUCUCUCUCUCUCUCUCUCUCUCUCUCUCUCUCUCUCUCUCUCUCUCUCUCUCUCUCUCUCUCUCUCGGAAUCCAGAUCGGAUCUGAGGACCGGACUCACCCCACAUGCGGCGUUCGUCAACCUCGGUGGCGAUCGGACAUGGACGUCGGAAGCAGCUCGUUCGUGGAGGAGUUGGUCUUGUUUACUGUGUUGUUGUUCUCCGGCCUGAGCAGUUGCUCGGCCGAUACGAGCUCGGUGCCCAGCACAUUGACCCACUCGUAGUUGAGGGUGGUGCCGCGCCAAGCGACGUAGAUUUCGCGGCGGCCGAUGGACUUGCUGUACUGGUCAGUGGUGACGGCGACGUAGCCGAUCCAGUUAGACUCGCGGGACAUGGAGUGGAGGAGGAAGGCCUCCGGGACGCUGACUUGUGCGGUGGCGUAGAGGAAGGAGGCGAUCUCGUAGUUGGCGGCGUCUUGGAGCAUGACUUUGUCGAAGAAGUUGGCGUGGCCGUAGCGGCUGGACCCGGCGUACUUGGAGUUGGCGUCGUUGUUGAAGGCGUCGUAGGUGCCCUGGCAGAAGUCGCCGCAACGGAGGAUCAGGGUUCGGAGGUGGACGUCCAGCGGGUCCAGGAGGCCGGCCCAGUUGUUUUCUCCGAGGAGAGCUGACCAUGUUGGACCUGCUGCUAGUUCAGUUGUGGAAUCAGGGGUCUGGGUCUGGGUGGUGGUACGAGUAUCCAUGACUGGUUUUGGUUCAGAGAGUGAAAGCUGGUUUUGGUAGUAAACUUCAUUUUUUCGCAUCUACGUUGAUUUUUCUCCUUUUCAAUGUGAAUUAUGGCAUUGAAGCUACUGUUUUGUAAGUUUACUACCCCCAGUAAAAGUUUACUAGGGGUAGUAAACUUUACUAGUGUGUAUUAUGGUCUUGAAAAUACUGUUUUGUAAGUUUACUACCCCCAGUAAAAGUUUACUAGGGGUAGUAAACUUUUUUUUUCGUACUUGGGUUAAGAUCACGUAAAUUCCGAUGACAUUUAAAAAAAUCCAGUGAGAUUUCUGGAAAAUUCCGGCCACCGGAUGCCGGCAAUUUUCCGGCCGUCGGAAAAUUCCGGUCACCGGUGACCGGAAUCCGGCUGCCGGAGUUCGGAGUCCGGCGACCGGAAUGCGGCUGCCGGUGUCCGGUGUGCUUCCGGGAAAGUCUUCCCUUCUUCUUUUUCAUUUUUUCUCUUUAAAUAAAGGUUAAGGGUAAAAAAGUCUUUAAAAAUAUAAUUUUAUUAUAUUUUAAUAAAGAUUUGUGUAUUUGGGUUUAAAAUAAGUACCUUGUAUUCAAAUGGGCUAAUAAAAAAAAUUAUCAUUUAAAUGGGGUUUGACUUUUUCUAUUUUGUGCAAACGGUCUUUUUCUCUUUAUUCUAUAUCUUAAUCAAAAUCUUUGUGUCUUAGCUUUUAACUUACUAUUUUUGCAUCUCAUUUAUCCAUUGUGGUUUAGAGUUUAGUUAUGGAGUAACUCUGGAUAAACAGUGACAAUUAUGUAUCUUAAACUAAUAUUCCCCAAGUUUUACCAGGUGAUCGGAUGAGUUAGAUCAUACGUAUGGAGUAUUGCAUGGAAUGGUGCUUGUAUUCGCGCGUAUACCUGAUUAAUUAGUUUUAAUUAGUUAAGGAGAUCCAGCUAGCAUAUUAUUCUCCUAUUUAACCACUGUCAUUUGGUUGAUAUUCUGGGAUCUAAAGGCUAGGGUUACAUGUAAAAAUUAAAAAUGAAACAAAAUGAAGUCCUACAUCACUACAUGUAACUGCAUGACU
rnacentral:lncRNA from 1 species